AGGUGAUGGACCUGGUCAUCCACCAAGACCAAACCUACUAAUAAUACUAAUAGAAUAUACUGGACAAUGUGUCCUUAAUUCGGGAUAUUUUGGACAUCUCUGGUUCAUUGGGCAUUAAGACUGGUCUCAUUUCACUAGACCAGGAAAAAGCUUUUGACAGGGUUGUGAUAGGGCGCGAUGGGUGGAUAUUAUGCUUUUUGAACAUAUUAUACUAAUUAAAACCUGCAGCGUGGGAGCUGCAGUUGGGGAGCGGCACCGCGAAGGUCAUACAAAGAUAACACGUACACAAUAUGUGAACUCUUCGCCCCCGAAACCCCCGCCCUCGCACGUUCCACCCUGUUGUGUGUGUGUAUGAAAAAUGAAAUAAAAGGAUGGCAAAAAGGAAAGUUCGUCGGAAGUCGACACUGCAGACGUGGUGUGGCUGGGCUUCCCCUUUGCAAAGUUGACAAAAUAUACGACUUGUCUGUGGUUUGUUCUCGCCUCUCAGUAAGGUUGCAGAAAUACCUAUCAUAACUUGGUGCUGAGACCUGGAUCCCAACAUACCCAGCGCCUGGACCUCAGCCUGCGGACACACUGAAGCCCGUCGACGGCCCGACUCAGCGUCAGAAACAAAGACCGAGGGAGCAAAUUCUCUGCCCGGCCAGUGACUAGAACUUCCCCAGACGAGGGGUCCAGGCUUGGAUUGGCGGAUCGAGGACCAAGGGAGAAGACCCACAGCAGAACAACCCGGAUCAGUGCCCUGAACCUGUGACGACCACGAGUAGAGGGGAAGUCUGACUACAAAGGGGACUGCCCGCAUUAAAAGGCAGCCGUCUCAACGUCAGUGAAGAAAUCAGUGAUCCCUACUCAUUAGGCGUCAGACCGGGGGAUGGAGCCUGAAGCCAUGAUGGUUGUGGGAGAGGAGAGAGACCAGCGUGGGGACACAUCCCUAAAACCCUGAGUUAAGUACAGGCAUCACAGCUUCCCCAACGUCUGUAGAGCCCUAGGAGCCUUGUUCCUGGUGAUGUUUGGAGUGUGGUUGUCGUUUCUGUUGCAGGACAUAAAACUACAGAAGGCGACAGCAGGAGACCCAGAGGCAAGCACCACCGAACCCUAAGGCCCACAGCUGCGUCUAAAAAGAUGAACCCACCUGAAAGACGACCCCUGGGGAGACCAGGGAAAAGAGGAAAAACACCCCAGAUUGAAAACCAGGUUGGAGAUCCGCAGCAGUGGUACCCCUGGCCUGACGGGGACCCUGGUGAGGACAAGAGUCCUGUGCCUGCAGCAGCUGGUGGACGCAGUGGGGCCGACGCUGAACGACGCUCCGGCUCUAGGCUCUCUUCUGGGUCUACAUUCUGUCUGGGUGGCAAGGAGGCUCCUGGAGAUAUGGAACCAGAGGCUGACGGUGGAGGAGAGGAGCCUCCUCCAGGGAGCCAGACCCUGCAGCCCCUCACCCUAAGAUGUACCUGAGCCCGGAGCUGGGGGACCUCACCGGCCCCCUGCUCGCUACGACAAGCCCAAAGAGUCUGACAUUGCAUGAAGCAGGAAAAAAGACUAUACUUCAAUUGCGUGAAAUGCACAAACAGAACUGGACUGUGUAACAGGCUCCCCACUGUGUGGUCCAAGAGACUGGGACAAAAUGGACCUGGCCCACAGUGGAGGAUUUUAUAUAACCCCCCAUCAAAAAACAGACUGCUGACCUCCAGUGGAGAAUUUUACAUGGCGCUGUCGCCUCCAAUGCUUUUAUCUCUGUUAUUAAUCCUUCUGUUCUUAGCCAGUGCCCAUUCUGUGAUCUUAGAGAGACUAUUUAUCAUGUUUUUACUGAGUGUAAGAGGCUCACAGAGUUCUUCUCUCUUUUAACAUUGUUUUUUAGUCUUUUUAGCGUGGUUUUUACAGAACAGGUAUUUAUUCAAAAAAACAGAAAAGGAAAAGUGGCAGCUCCUAAACUUUGUCUGUGGGGAAGCAAAGAUGGCAAUUUAUUUAUCAAGAAAAAACAGAGUGGAAAACAGCCUGGGCCUCCUGCCCCUCCCUAUCUGGCUGUGUAAUAUAAGAGCAAGACUCUGGCUAGAGUUUAGGUUUUUUAAACACAUUGGCGAUUUGGAUGCUUUUAAACUAAACUGGUGUUUUAACAACAUUGUUUGCUCUGUGGUCCAUGAUGAGCUGGAAUUUGCACAAUUUUUUAUGUGAGUGUGUGUAUAUAUAUAUUGUUCUUUUUGUGUGUGAGAAAACUCAGUAGCAC